rnacentral:miRNA from 1 species
GGCGACAGACGAUAAUAGAC